rnacentral:rRNA from 1 species
UACGGGGGGGGCAAGCGUUGUUCGGAAUUACUGGGCGUAAAGGGCUCGUAGGCGGCCAACUAAGUCAGACGUGAAAUCCCUCGGCUUAACCGGGGAACUGCGUCUGAUACUGGAUGGCUUGAGUUUGGGAGAGGGAUGCGGAAUUCCAGGUGUAGCGGUGAAAUGCGUAGAUAUCUGGAGGAACACCGGUGGCGAAGGCGACUUCCUGGCCUGUUCUUGACGCUGAGGCGCGAAAGCUAGGGGAGCAAACGGG